rnacentral:rRNA from 1 species
UGAACUCGCUGUGAAGAUGCAGUGUACCCGCGGCAAGACGGAAAGACCCCGUGAACCUUUACUAUAGCUUGACACUGAACAUUGAGCCUUGAUGUGUAGGAUAGGUGGGAGGCUUAGAAGUGUGGACGCCAGUCUGCAUGGAGCCGACCUUGAAAUACCACCCUUUAAUGUUUGAUGUUCUAACGUUGACCCGUAAUCCGGGUUGCGGACAGUGUCUGGUGGGUAGUUUGACUGGGGCGGUCUCCUCCUAAAGAGUAACGGAGGAGCACGAAGGUUGGCUAAUCCUGGUCGGACAUCAGGAGGUUAGUGCAAUGGCAUAAGCCAGCUUGACUGCGAGCGUGACGGCGCGAGCAGGUGCGAAAGCAGGUCAUAGUGAUCCGGUGGUUCUGAAUGGAAGGGCCAUCGCUCAACGGAUAAAAGGUACUCCGGGGAUAACAGGCUGAUACCGCCCAAGAGUUCAUAUCGACGGCGGUGUUUGGCACCUCGAUGUCGGCUCAUCACAUCCUGGGGCUGAAGUAGGUCCCAAGGGUAUGGCUGUUCGCCAUUUAAAGUGGUACGCGAGCUGGGUUUAGAACGUCGUGAGACAGUUCGGUCCCUAUCUGCCGUGGGCGCUGGAGAACUGAGGGGGGCUGCUCCUAGUACGAGAGGACCGGAGUGGACGCAUCACUGGUGUUCGGGUUGUCAUGCCAAUGGCACUGCCCGGUAGCUAAAUGCGGAAGAGAUAAGUGCUGAAAGCAUCUAAGCACGAAACUUGCC